rnacentral:tRNA from 1 species
UCCCUGGUGGCUCAGAGGUUAAAGCGUCUGCCCGCAAUCCAGGAGACCCUGGUUCGAUUCCUGGGUUGGGAA